CUUUGUUGUUGUAUAAAGUCUGUGGUCAAAUUGAAAAUAGACUAAUAUUGUUUGUCUUUAAUAUUAUUUAUCAACAGUGUAGUUUUGGCGAAAUCAGCUCGAGAAUCACUUGAAGAUAGUGUAUACUUAGCGUGAGGAAUCGGGAGGGUCGUGAAGCAACAACUGAGGACUGGAAUUUGUUAUUGAGGCGAGAAGAUUCUUAAAAGAGCUACUUAUAUCAUAUUUCUUGAGAUGGGCCGACAAGAACUGGCUUACGAUUGAUUAGUUUAGAGACUAUUUUUUUGGAGAGGGGCCGGCCGGUCUUACCAAGCAGACCGCAGUAUUGUUUUGCAGCAAAAAUACCAGAUGGUCGAGUGUGCUUCACAGAGACUAGAGCAGCUUUAAUGUCAGAGAAAAGAUUUUUCGGAAAAUUUAAGUGGAAAAUUACUCACUUAGCAUAUAUUAUAUAGAGAGCUUGGUUGGCGCGAUCACAGUUCCAAAUCGACCUCACGUCUCAAGGUGGUUGCAUUCAAUGGGCUCCGGUAGCUGCCAACAUUGAGGGCUCGUCUGAACAACUAGGUACAUCAGUACAAAACAUUGGAUUAAAGGUAGGUAGGACCUUAGGUCUCAAUAAAUCAAUUAAUGUAUGUUCAAAUUAUGUUUCUUUAUUGCAUUUUAAAUUAUAAUUAUGUUGUCAAUUAAGCUAUAUCUCUAUUUAUUUGUAUAGGAGAAUAUUGUAAUUAAUUUUUAAUUAUUUUUGUAUGGAAUAAAGAAAGUUUUAUUAUUAU